AUUCCCUUUAUUCUCUUCCAUUUAUUCUUACAAAGGAAAAGCACCAAAAAUGCUUCACAUGGUUGAAACUUGAAACCCCAGCAAGCUAAAUGCUUACACGAGGACUAAAAUUUUUUCAUAGUAUAAUAAGGCUAAGUAUGUAUGAUUUAAGCAUAAAUAAUAGCUUGUUUAUGUACAUGAGGCACCUUCACAAUCAACAUUUGGCUUCGCCCAACUUGUUUGCAGUAUGUUUUUAUGCUUCUGCCUCUGGCAGCGAAUUCCGUCUCCAUGGCUAUCUAGAAUGCUUAAGCUUCAAAUCUUAUAAAUGGUGUAUAAAUUGUUUAUGCAAUAAAGAUGAAGUAAUAUGAGAAUUCAGCUGCAAACAGCUUCAACUGACAGCUUUUUUAAACUAUCAGGACAGGGAUCUCCUCCAAACACUUCUGGAGCCACUGUUAAUGAACAAGACUGCUUUCCAACACACUUCUUUUCAAAAGCAUCAUAUGACUUGUGGGCAUGACAGUUACCCUCUCGGAAGCUUCCACAAGUCCCCUGGGGCAUUCCAUAGCUAGCAAACUUAAUUUGAGAGAUCUUCUGCCCUGAAGGACACCAUAAAUGGGCUUUGGGUUGGAGGUGGUCAAAUUUUCCCAAUGCUAUCAUCUUCCAGUUCUUCAAUGAUGGCUGUCCUUCAAAGAUAUCAGCACAAACACUUCCUGUACUUCUUUUGACCAAAGAAAUUGCACUUGGAUCACCACGCCAUUCUUCAAACACAACUAAUAGAUUCCCACUUGGGUUCACCCACGAGCGAGGAACGUGGUACCUGAGAUUAACAUCAUCGCCACAGAUACUUAAAUCAGAUAAACGAAAGACUCUGAAACAACUCAGAAGAAGUUCUCUCACCAUCUCUGGGAAGGCUCUCCACAAUUACUUCUGCAUA
rnacentral:misc_RNA from 1 species